CGUUGUUGUCAGUCGCGUCUCGGAGCCGCCGCAGCGGCGGGGCCCUGCUGAGCGUCCGUCAGUCCGCCCGGCGCGGGGCGCGAGUUACCGCGGCCGUCCUCCCCGAGCCCCGCGGCCCGGCCGAGCUCCCCGCCGCCGUCUCCGAGCCUUUAUCUCCCGUCUCGUCGCGCUCCCCGUCCCCGCGGGCGGUCGCGGCGGGCGCUGCCCAUGCAGAGGGCGGCGCGGGGCGCGGCGGCCCGAGGAGACGCCGUGCGAAGCCAACAGGUUUGUGCAGAAAGCGAGCCGGCGUCUUGUGCUGGGAGCUGGAGCGCGCCUCGGACGGAGAACGAAGGCACGAGUAUCCCGCGUUCCUUGUCCGCGCUCGUAUUGCUUUUGUCAGUGCAUCUAUUGCAUCCAGUGUGC
rnacentral:lncRNA from 1 species